GAAGGAGAAGGAGAAGGAGAAGGAGAAGAAGAAGAAGAAGAAGAAGAAGAAGAAGAAAAGGAUUUGCAUCACAAAAAUAAAAGAGGACCUCAAGAUGGUAUAUAUCGUUCUCCCCAUUUUAUCCUCACAACAAACCUCUGAGGAAAAGCAUAUCCAAGUAAAACAGAGUCAGGAAAAGCAGAUUAUCUGGCAUAGCAAGAUUAGCCAGAAUAUGGAGAACCAGAGAUUGCAUCAUCAGAGCUGCAUUGUCAACAAGACAACUUCAUGGGGGGGGGAGAGAGUCUGGACAGGGAUGUUAUGUCAACUAGAUUCAUAGAACUGAAUGUGAUGAGGCAAUGAUGAAAAAGGAGCACAUCGACACAUGACAGUGCUAAAGGGCGCAAUGCCACAGUAGCCAGUUAACAUCUUUGGUGUACAGACUAUG